ACGUAGGAGGCAAGCGUUAUCCGGAGUUACUGGGCGUAAAGGGCGUGCAGGCGGUUGGCUAAGUUCGUUGUGAAAGCGCCCAGGCUUAACCGGGCGAGGACAAUGAAGACUGGUCAGCUAGAGGCAGGUAGAGGCGUGUGGAAUUCCGGGUGUAGUGGUGAAAUGCGUAGAGAUCCGGAGGAACACCAGUGGCGAAAGCGACUCUCUGGCCCGUAACUGACGCUGAGGUGCGAAAGCUAGGGGAGCAAACGG
rnacentral:rRNA from 1 species